UCCACAGUAGCUCAGUGGUAGAGCUAUCGGCUGUUAACCGAUCGGUCGUAGAUUCGAGUCCUACCUGUGGAGCCA
rnacentral:tRNA from 1 species